rnacentral:rRNA from 1 species
CUAAAAAAGUGUAUAAGAGUUAUAGAAUAAAGUACUGUAAAGGAAAGAUGAAAUAUAUUGAAAACUUAAUUUGUAUAAAGUAAAGUUAAAAACUUGUACCUUGUGUAUUAGGGAAAAUCAAAAUAAACUUAAUAAUAAAGAAAUCCCGAAAGAAAAAGAGCUAAUGUAAAUAUAUAGUUUUCGUCUUAAUGAAAUUAUAAAAUU